UGCGUAGGCGGGUUUCUAAGUCAGAGGUGAAAGCCUGGAGCUCAACCCCAGAACUGCCUUUGAUACUGGAAGUCUUGAGUACGGCAGAGGUGAGUGGAACUGCGAGUGUAGAGGUGAAAUUCGUAGAUAUUCGCAAGAACACCAGUGGCGAAGGCGGCUCACUGGGCCAUUACUGACGCUGAGGCACGAAAGCGUGGGAGCAAACA
rnacentral:rRNA from 1 species